UAGGGAAUCUUCGGCAAUGGGGGCAACCCUGACCGAGCAACGCCGCGUGAGUGAAGAAGGUUUUCGGACCGUAAAGCUCUGUUGUAAGUCAAGAACGAGUGUGAGAGUGGAAAGUUCACACUGUGACGGUAGCUUACCAGAAAGGGACGGCUAACUACGUGCCAGCAGCCGCGGUAAUACGUAGGUCCCGAGCGUUGUCCGGAUUUAUUGGGCGUAAAGCGAGCGCAGGCGGUUUGAUAAGUCUGAAGUUAAAGGCUGUGGCUCAACCAUAGUUCGCUUUGGAAACUGUCAAACUUGAGUGCAGAAGGGGAGAGUGGAAUUCCAUGUGUAGCGGUGAAAUGCGUAGAUAUAUGGAGGAACACCGGUGGCGAAAGCGGCUCUCUGGCUUGUAACUGACGCUGAGGCUCGAAAGCGUGGGGAGCAAACAGGAUUAGAUACCCUGGUAGUCCACGCCGUAAACGAUGAGUGCUAGGUGUUGGAUCCUUUCCGGGAUUCAGUGCCGCAGCUAACGCAUUAAGCACUCCGCCUGGGGAGUACGACCGCAAGGUUG
rnacentral:rRNA from 1 species